UUUUGGUCCUGGCUCCAAAUGGACCCCUACCGGAUGCCCUUCUCCUUCCAAUUCAACCGGCACCACGGACUUCGGUCUGGUGGCGAGGGGCGAACGGGUGAAUAAUGACUCGAAACCUGCCCAGUACCGGGGGAAAACUACACGAAAGCUUACCUAAUACCCCAUACCCCCUACGGGGGAAAGCAGGGGAUCCCAAGACCUUCCCCUAUUGGAGCGGCCAAUUUCUAAUUACCUAGUUGGGGGGGUAACGGCUCCCCAAGGCAACCAUCCUUAGCUGGUUUGAAAGGACAACCAGCCCCCCUGGGACUGAAACCCGGCCCAAACUCCUACGGGAGGCAGCGGGGGGGAAUUUUGGACAAUGGGGGAAACCCUGAUCCAGCCCUCCCGCGGGUGCGAUGA
rnacentral:rRNA from 1 species